GACGAGCCUCACGAACGUUAUUCGGAAUUACUGGGCUUAAAGGGUGCGUAGGCUGUGCGGAAAGUUGGGUGUGAAAUCCCUCGGCUCAACCGAGGAACUGCGCCCAAAACUACCGUACUCGAGGAAGAUAGAGGUGAGCGGAACUUACGGUGGAGCGGUGAAAUGCGUUGAUAUCGUAAGGAACACCCGUGGCGAAAGCGGCUCACUGGGUCUUUUCUGACGCUGAUGCACGAAAGCUAGGGGAGCAAACGGG
rnacentral:rRNA from 1 species